AUUGAACGCUGGCGGCAUGCCUUACACAUGCAAGUCGAACGGCAGCGGGGACUUCGGUCCGCCGGCGAGUGGCGAACGGGUGAGUAACGUAUCGGAACGUACCUUUCAGUGGGGGAUAACGUAGCGAAAGUUACGCUAAUACCGCAUAUUCUGUGAGCAGGAAAGCAGGGGACCGCAAGGCCUUGCGCUCUUUGAGCGGCCGAUGUCAGAUUAGCUAGUUGGUGAGGUAAAGGCUUACCAAGGCGACGAUCUGUAGCGGGUCUGAGAGGAUGAUCCGCCACACUGGAACUGAGACACGGUCCAGACUCCUACGGGAGGCAGCAGUGGGGAAUUUUGGACAAUGGGCGCAAGCCUGAUCCAGCCAUGCCGCGUGAGUGAAGAAGGCCUCGGUUGUAAG
rnacentral:rRNA from 1 species